rnacentral:lncRNA from 1 species
UUUUUUUUUUUUGAGACAGAAUCUCACUCCUGUUGCCCAGGCUGGAGUGCAGUGGCGCGAUCUCAGCUCACUGCAAUCUCUGCCUCUCGGGUUCAAGUGAUUCUCCUGCCUCGGUCUCCCAAGUAGGUGGGAUUACAAGCAUGCGCCACCAUGCCCGGCUAAUUUUGUAUUUAGUAGAGACGGGGCUUCUCCAUGUUGGUCAGGCUGGUCUCGAACUCCCGACCUCAGGUGAUCCGCCAGCCUCAGCCUCCCAAAGUGCUGGGAUUACAGGGGUGAGCCACAGUGCCCAACCUAAUUGUUAUGGAAGACUAGCACCACUUCUUUGUACUAAUACUCUAUAUGGGAAAUAAGUAACGUGAUAGCCUCCUUGAGCCAGGUGCCCCUCUCUGCAGGCAGGAACAAUCACCGACAGCUCCAGCAGCAUCACACCUCAGUAUUAUUUUAGUUAGUUCAUUUCAACUAAAUUUACUUCAGAAUGUAUUUGUUGAAUGUGUAUUGUGAGCCAAGCCCUGUUCUAUGCAUUGAAGAUACCAAGAUGAAUAGGCAGAACACCUCCUUUCAAGGUGUGCAAAAUACAACUAAACACUUGAACAAUUACAGCACAAUGGGAUAAAUGGUAUGGUAGAAAUCUAAAUAAAGUAUGAAGAGAGCACUGGAUUGGGGGGAGGAGAUAAGGGAUUGUUAGGGAAAAAGAGGAUAUCUGAGCUGCACCUUGAAUGAUGAAUAGCUCUUCAAUUUGUGCCCCCUGCUCUGUGUUCCCUUUUUUUAAAAUUUUUUUUCAUUUCUUGCCUUCUUUUGGGUUUAUUAUUAAUACUACUGUUCCAUUUUUUUCUCCUUAUUAGUUAAAAAGUAUUCCAUUCUUCUUUUCUAUUCAUGAGAAGCUACUCUAGAAGUACAAUAUGUACCCUUGAGUUAUCAGAGUCUAAUGUUAGUUUCUGGUUUUGCCCCACUCCUGGAGAAGCUUGGUUAUUUUGACUGUGUGCUGGGCAUUGUGUUUGAAAGACUGUUUAUAGAAAUCUUUAUGACCUCAUAUGAUGUUAUCUUCCCCCAGAGAGAUGUUUGUUUGUUUGUUUCUGCCACAAUCCUUGGGGAUGCUAGUAGUUUUGGGCAGCAAACUUGAUGCACACUCAAGGUUUGACACUUUCUUGGCUGAACAGAUGACCACAUGUGGACUGAUUUACUUCCAGGUAUCUAAAUGCCUGCAGUGCAGUCCUUAAGCAUCCUAGCCAUUGGUAGGCCCCAGUCUAUCUUUUGUCCCCUUAACUUUUGAGAGGCUGCCGAAAGCACAGCCCAGCAUCUCACCUCUUCCGCAUCAGCACAGGCUCCCAGGUGAAAGCUUCCCCAAGCGAUGUUUAUCUCUGCAGGUGCCUGGCCACUCCCACACUUUGGUUAGCAGUUUUUCAUCAUCUUAUUAGGGGUUGUUGAUGCUUUUAAUACAAUAUUUCUGUAUUUCACCCAGAUUUCCUCAUUAUUUCCUGAGGAAGGAUUUGUCUGAACUACCUAGUCUUCC